rnacentral:rRNA from 1 species
UACGAAGGGUGCAAGCGUUACUCGGAAUUACUGGGCGUAAAGCGUGCGUAGGUGGUUCGUUAAGUCUGAUGUGAAAGCCCUGGGCUCAACCUGGGAACGGCAUUGGAAACUGGCUUACUAGAGUGCGGUAGAGGGGUGUGGAAUUCCCGGUGUAGCAGUGAAAUGCGUAGAUAUCGGGAGGAACAUCUGUGGCGAAGGCGACACCCUGGACCAGCACUGACACUGAGGCACGAAAGCGUGGGGAGCAAACAGG